rnacentral:rRNA from 1 species
UACGGAGGGAGCUAGCGUUGUUCGGAAUUACUGGGCGUAAAGCGCACGUAGGCGGCUUUCUAAGUCGGGGGUGAAAUCCUGGAGCUCAACUCCAGAACUGCCUUCGAUACUGGAAGCUCGAGUCCGGGAGAGGUGAGUGGAACUGCGAGUGUAGAGGUGAAAUUCGUAGAUAUUCGCAAGAACACCAGUGGCGAAGGCGGCUCACUGGCCCGGUACUGACGCUGAGGUGCGAAAGCGUGGGGAGCAAACAGG